AUGGCGUGUUUGGUCUCAUACUCGAACGUCCCCCUCGCCUUUUACUAGGGAGACCCGGGGAUCAAGCACAAAGCCUACUCAACAAUCUUUCAGAUUCACUUCGGUGAUG
rnacentral:snRNA from 1 species